GUCCCCGUAGGCUAAAGGAGAGACCGGGUGGCUACGAACCACCUGAUGCGUGUUCAAUUCGCGCCGGGGAUG
rnacentral:tRNA from 1 species